UACGUAGGUGGCGAGCGUUGUCCGGAAUCACUGGGCGUAAAGGGUGCGUAGGCGGGUCUUUAAGUCAGGGGUGAAAUCCUGGAGCUCAACUCCAGAACUGCCUUUGAUACUGAGGAUCUUGAGUACGGGAGAGGUGAGUGGAACUGCGAGUGUAGAGGUGAAAUUCGUAGAUAUUCGCAAGAACACCAGUGGCGAAGGCGGCUCACUGGCCCGUUACUGACGCUGAGGCACGAAAGCGUGGGGAGCAAACAGG
rnacentral:rRNA from 1 species